GACCGGGGAGCAACGCCGCGUGAGUGAUGAAGGUUUUCGGAUCGUAAAGCUCUGUUGUUAGGGAAGAACAAGUGCCGUUCAAAUAGGGCGGCACCUUGACGGUACCUAACCAGAAAGCCACGGCUAACUACGUGCCAGCAGCCGCGGUAAUACGUAGGUGGCAAGCGUUGUCCGGAAUUAUUGGGCGUAAAGGGCUCGCAGGCGGUUUCUUAAGUCUGAUGUGAAAGCCCCCGGCUCAACCGGGGAGGGUCAUUGGAAACUGGGGAACUUGAGUGCAGAAGAGGAGAGUGGAAUUCCACGUGUAGCGGUGAAAUGCGUAGAGAUGUGGAGGAACACCAGUGGCGAAGGCGACUCUCUGGUCUGUAACUGACGCUGAGGAGCGAAAGCGUGGGGAGCGAACAGGAUUAGAUACCCUGGUAGUCCACGCCGUAAACGAUGAGUGCUAAGUGUUAGGGGGUUUCCGCCCCUUAGUGCUGCAGCUAACGCAUUAGCACUCGCCGGGGGAAGAA
rnacentral:rRNA from 1 species